rnacentral:rRNA from 1 species
GACGAACGCUGGCGGCGUGCUUAACACAUGCAAGUCGAACGGAAAGGCCCUGCUUUUGUGGGGUGCUCGAGUGGCGAACGGGUGAGUAACACGUGAGUAACCUGCCCUUGACUUUGGGAUAACUUCAGGAAACUGGGGCUAAUACCGGAUAGGAGCUCCUGCUGCAUGGUGGGGGUUGGAAAGUUUCGGCGGUUGGGGAUGGACUCGCGGCUUAUCAGCUUGUUGGUGGGGUAGUGGCUUACCAAGGCUUUGACGGGUAGCCGGCCUGAGAGGGUGACCGGCCACAUUGGGACUGAGAUACGGCCCAGACUCCUACGGGAGGCAGGAGGGGGGAAUAUUGCACAAUGGGCGGAAGCCUUAAGCAGCAACGCCGCGUGCGGGAUGACGGCCUUCGGGUUGGAAACCGCUUUCGCCUGUGACGAAGCGUGAGUGACGGUAAUGGGUAAAGAAGCACCGGCUAACUACGUG